GAUGAACGCUGGCGGCGUGCCUAAUACAUGCAAGUCGAGCGAACAGACGAGGAGCUUGCUCCUCUGACGUUAGCGGCGGACGGGUGAGUAACACGUGGAUAUCCUACCUAUAAGACUGGGAUAACUUCGGGAAACCGGAGCUAAUACCGGAUAAUAUAUUGAACCGCAUGGUUCAAUAGUGAAAGACGGUUUUGCUGUCACUUAUAGAUGGAUCCGCGCCGCAUUAGCUAGUUGGUAAGGUAACGGCUUACCAAGGCAACGAUGCGUAGCCGACCUGAGAGGGUGAUCGGCCACACGGAAACUGAGACACGGUCCAGACGCCUACGGGAGGCAGCAGUAGGGAAUCUUCCGCAAUGGGCGAAAGCCUGACGGAGCAACGCCGCGUGAGUGAUGAAGGUCUUCGGAUCGUAAAACUCUGUUAUUAGGGAAGAACAAAUGUGUAAGUAACUAUGCACGUCUUGACGGUACCUAAUCAGAAAGCCACGGCUAACUACGU
rnacentral:rRNA from 1 species